UACGUAGGCAGCGAGCGUUGUUCGGAAUUACUGGGCGUAAAGAGUGUGUAGGCGGUGCUCUAAGUUCGGUGUGAAAUCUCCCGGCUUAACUGGGAGGGUGCGCCGGAAACUGGAGUGCUCGAGCGUGGGAGAGGAAAGCGGAAUUCCUGGUGUAGCGGUGAAAUGCGUAGAUAUCAGGAGGAACACCUGCGGUGUAGACGGCUUUCUGGACCAUUGCUGACGCUGAGACACGAAAGUGUGGGUAGCAAACAGG
rnacentral:rRNA from 1 species